AUCAACAUCUGUCUUUCUUUGGAGCUCUGAUUGGGAACUAUCACAGAUCCUGCAUUUGUAGUCCAGACCGGUUGUCUGGAACCUGUUGCCUGCUGUUGAAGGACUCCAGCAGAAGGUGGUCUCUUCCAAAACCUCGCCAGCUUCAGAGACAUCCCUGGAAGGAAAAAAUGAGGGUGAUGGCAACUAUCCAACAGCCUCACCCAAGCACCUCCACCAGCAUCUGCCUGGCAACUUCAUCCUCUAGCUUCCACCUGCCCACAUUCACUGGUGUCAUUUACUCAUGGUAUAUCCACCGGUUUGUCACAUUCACACACUUACACCCACCCAACCCCUUUACCGCAUCCGAAACUCCACUCACACACACACACACGGCCAGCCAACAUCCACAAAGAACGCCAGCGGCAACAUCCGCCCCUUUCUCACCCCCCCAUCCAUUCACAUUCGUUCCCUGGCUUCAACCCACAAAUAUCCACCUUCAACCAGCUUCCUCCACAAAUAUUCGCCUGCUUCAGCCUUGCGGCAUCCGCCAGCUUCCGAAUGCGAAAUCCACCGGCUUCCACACACACUGCCAGCUUCUACCAGGUCCAUCACUAGACAUCAGCCAGCUUCAGAUAUGAUUUCUAGGUUGGAUUCUCAUUGUAUUCCAAUAGAUGACCAGAGGAGAUGCGAGAAGGAAAGGCAUCAGCUGGAAAAUCUGGGGGAAGCUGAGUUGCACUGGAUGCUUUUGGGAAGUAAGGAGCAGAUGGUGUCUCACCCUCCUGACCAGGGAGAAGCCCCUGAGAGCUGGCAAGGCCAUUGCCCGUGGAGAGUAUAGUCCAAAAAGUAUAGUCCAAAAAAUAAUCCUCAAGGAUGAGAGAGAAAAAACACGCAAGGACAUUUUUACCUGGGAGCAUGAGCUUAUGUUGCAAGAGGCAACCCACGCCAGAGAGAAGCUUUAGGAAGCAGUCCAUAUUCGUGGUGCACAAGAGGAUUCACACUGGGGAGAAGCCAUACAAGUGCUCAUCUUGUGAAAGAACCUUUGGCCGUGGAGCGCACCUCAUCCAGCACGAGAGGCCUGGCCUCCAAGAGGUCUUCUGCAUCUUUAAAAGUUGUGCAGGGGGAAGGGAGAAUUCCACCUUGUGGUUUUUCCCAUUACAGUGUUGCAAGAACACCUGCACUUGGCUGACUUUCUUUUCUCCUAAAGAUACAGGAUCAGUCUCAGGCCUUGAACCUGGCAACCCUAGUCAGUAGUGGUAGUUGCCUGGGUGAGUGGGGGUGGUUUAGGCACUUGCUUCUCUGUGUGUGUAUAUUUGGCAGUCCCUGUAUAUGUGUUUGGAAGUGUCUGGUGUGUGUGUUUGGGGGUGCCUGGAAUGUGUGUGCAUUUGUGUAUGUCUGGAAGUUCCUGGGGUGGGUGGGAGGCAAUGCGUGUACAUUUGGAAGUCUCUCUCUCUCUCUCUCUCUCUCUCUCUCUCUCUCUCUCUCUCUCUCGGGGGUUUGGCAUGCAUAGUGCACAGGGGCAAAACCCCUAGUACAAAAUAAAUAUACAAUAAAUAAUGUCACAUCCAUGCCAUACAUUUAAAGCAUUCCUAUAACACUUUAACAGUCAUGGAGAAUCUUUGGAAAUGUAAAUUUCCCCCCAGGAUUCUCUAGGGGGAAUAAGACUGUUAAAGUGGUUUAAGUGUGCUUUAAAUUUAUGGUGUGACUGUGACCUAUAUUUCCCACUCCACCACCACAACAUGCACCCCAGUUUAGACAAAGGAGAAGAGUUAGAAGCGAAUCCAUUUUUUUGUGAUGGUACUCACUGGUAAAGGAGUACUCUUUUUUUGCUGCCAUUGGCAGCCAUUUUGUGCUGGCACCAAUGGCAGUUUUAUCAAGAUAGGAGUACUGGCUCCUCACUUUUUACCCCAAAUCACUGUGCAGUUCUGUCUCUAAAUGGGAGUGUUGGUUCCUCAUAUCUGCACCCCCCUUUACUUUCAUAAACUCAAGCCCCAAGAAAAUGGAAGCAUCUAAGUUCCAUUUUUGGUAAAAGUAGUUGUCACACAGGGCAAGGGUGGAGAGAGAGAAAAACAUCUAUGAUUGGCCUGCAAAGGCACUUGAAACAACCAUAAGGGUUUUGGAUUAUUUGACUGUGCUUAUGUGAGACAUUUAGAGCAAAAGGCCCUCUUAAACCUGGGUGAUCUAUUGGUUUAGGGAGUUACACAUUAGUUCCAGAUGUGGUUAUUAUUCUAGCUUAGUCCUUCAAAAAGUAACUAUUGCACCAUCUGUUUGGUAAAGGACAGUAUCAAAGGGUGCCAAGGCGAUGUUAAUAAUAUGGGUCAAAUGACUAUAGAUGACUCUUUCACACAUAAAAACAUUGAGGUCACAGCACCUCGGUACAAUUCAUAUUUUUAACUUGUGAUUCAUUCAGCUGCCAGUGAAACUGUGGGAAGAAUUAUUGGUCUUUUUUAAAAUAGUAAAAGCAUGUUCUAGGUUGUUAUUACCACUCAGUAUAGUAUGGGGUCAAAUUCAACCUUGGUAGUUGAUGGUAAGCGCUAGAGAGGUGUGUUUUCAAACCUGAUCCAAAUUUGGUUUCAUUUGCAGGUAACACUAAGCAUUCUACCUCCAUUGUUGGGACAGCAUGCCUCUGAAUACCAGUUGCCGGGAAUCUCAGAUGGGGAGAAUGCUGUAGUGCUCAGGUCCUGCUUGCAAGCUUCCCAUUGGCAUCUGGUUGGCCACUGUGAGGGCAGAGUGCUGGAAGAGAUCGGCCUUUGGCCUGAUCCAGCAGGGCUCUUCUUAUGUUCUUAUUAAGAGAUGGUUGUCUGUAGUAAAUGAGAGAACUAGCACAGAUUCGAUACCUUCCUCAUCUCCACCUGAUCGCCCCCCCUCCCCAUGGCUGGGCUCCUAUGACUUUAACAACACUCUGCCAGGUAAAAAUUCAGCAGAAUCAACUUCAAAAUUCAGUGAUGGGAAAGAUCUUCAUGUUGAAUUUCUGCCAACCAUUCCACAAACGUACAGAAGGUCUUGCAGGAAAAAGGGGUAGCUACCGUAUGGGAAAGAGCUAGGUAUAUUUCUUUUAUUUUACUUGAAAAUAUAUUUGUAUACCACUAUUUCAUUUAAAAACAUCAAAGAGGUUUACAAGUUUAAAAAAUUGUAUAGUAAAAACCAUUAAAAAUACAAUAAAAACAAAGGUCAUCUAUUGCCAGAGCUUGGAAAAGUUACUUUUUUGAAGUACAACUCCCAUCAGCCCAAUCCAGUGGCCAUGCUGGGUGGGGCUGAUGGGAGUUGUAGUUUCAAAAAGUAACUUUUCCAAGUUCUGUCUAUUGCAAAAAGACAUCUUCUUAAUUGCCUGCAUAAGACUGGUGGAACAGAAAGCUUUCAGCAGGCAUUUCAAAGUUAAAAUAGAAGGCUCCUGCUGAAUCUGUUGGCAGAGCAUUCCAGAGAAGGGUUCAGGCAGUCCCUAAGUCACCCAGGACCAAAGUUGUUCAGGGCUGUGUAAAUUAAUAGAAGGACCUUGAACCUGGCUCCAUAGUGGAUGGGCAGCGAGUGCAGAUGUUUUAAGAGUGGGGUCACAUGUUGUCAGCUAUGUGCCCCCAUCAGCAGUCUGGCCACCACAUUUUGCACCAGCUGAAGCUUCCAAACAAGGGCAAAAUGCGGCCCCACACAGAGCACAUUGCAGUAAUCCAGCCUUGAGGUUAUCAAUGUACGGGCUAAAGUGGUCAGGCUACUCCUGUUUAGACCAGAGAAGGAAAGAUUAAGGGGAGACAGGAUAGUGAUCUUCAAAUAUCUGUAGAGCUGUCAUGCAGAAGAUGGAAUAGACAUAUACUCCAUUUUUCUACAGGGUAAGACUAGAACCUAUGGGAUGAAAUUGCAGGGAAGCAGAUUUUGGCUAAACGUUAGGAAAAGCUUCCUAAUUGUAAGAGCUGUUUGUCAGUAGAAGCGGUAGUUUAGGAGGUGAUGGACUCUCCUUCCUUUGAUGGUACUUUUUAAGUAGAAGAUAGAUGUGCAGCUGCGAAGGAUGGUGUAGGUGCAAGAUGCACAGAUCAAGGGGUUGAAUUAUAUGCAGUGGCUGCUGGUGUCUCCGAUGUCAAUGGGGCAGUGAAUCACUCCGGGUUUUAGUCUGAACUCUGAAGGAGCUCUCCAAAGUACUUUACACCUCACUGCCAUUGGAGCCACCAGUCUCCACUGAUUAUAUGACCACCAUCCCUUCCAACUCAGAUUCUAUGGGAAACGAGAUCCCACAGACUUGCAUUGUUUUGAAACUCUGAUCAAAGUUUGAUUACAAGAGUGAGAUGGUGAAUGUACAAAUGUAUGACAGUCUAUAUGCAAACAUAUGCUUUUGACGUUUGUAUGAAGAUACAUAUCUUGAAAUACAUAGUUCCUAAACUCUGUGGCAGGUUGUAGUUCUACAGCUUACGAUAAUAAUGUUCUCAUUACCACAUCCUGGACUUUUUAUUCCCCCUACUAUGGAGAAGUAUUUCAAUUUUCUUCUGUCAAAGGUUAGAGAUUGUUAAAAUCAAAAAGAACACCCAACACGAACAAAAUAAGCAGAGGCACAGGGUAGUUUGUGGGAGAGCAAUUCCAGCAGGGUAAUUGACAAUGCAAUGUGUAGCCUUAAAGGCACUUUUCUAAUAUAUAUUUAUGAUGGCUGGCAAAAAUAAAAGCCAGCCAUCAUAAAAAUGUUCCAAUGUAUAGGGCUUCCCAGCAACUCCUAUCUCAUGUUUGCUUUUAGGCCUUGAUCCUGCAUGGAGUUGAGGGCAGAUAGAGAAUAGGUUUCACAUAUCAAUGACAUCGUUUUUCAGCAGGAUCAAAGGAUUGGGUUGCAAAAAAAAGAAAAAAGAAUGAUGCCUGUUUUAAUACUGAAGCCAAAAUGACCGGUCCUUAAGAAA